rnacentral:tRNA from 1 species
AUUCCAUUAACCCCGGUUCGAAUCCGGGCGCGACUGAGUUGCGUAGUGUAGAGGUUAUCACCGUGGAUUCUGAG